GAGAGGCAGGCAGAGAGAGAGAGAUAGGAGGAAGCAGGCUCCCUGCUGAGCAGAGAGCCUGAUGCGGGGCUCGAUCCCAGGACCCUGAGAUCAUGACCUGAGCCGAAGGCAGCGGCUUAACCCACUGAGCCACCCAGGUGCCCGGAAAUCCUGUUUUGAAUCAAACAAUUUUGCUAGGAGAAAAUGGCAAAGCUAAAGAUUGCAUCAUGAAUGGGGUCAGAACUACAGGCUGGCCGGAGAAACAACAUGUGUUGGAGAGGAUGUGGAGAAAAGGGAACCCUCUUACACUGUUGGUGGGAAUGCAAGUUGGUUCAGCCUCUUUGGAGAACAGUGUGGAGAUUCCUCAAGAAAUUAAAAAUAGAACUUCCCUAUGACCCUGCCAUUGCACUCCUGGGUAUUUACCCCAAAGAUACAGAUGUCGUGCAAAG